ensembl:miRNA
GCCGGCCGCUUCCCAGCCAGGCUGAAAGGGCUCGGGAAGCUAGCUGGCCUUGUUGGCCCUU